CCUACGGGUGGCAGCAGUGGGGAAUAUUGGGCAAUGGGCGCAAGCCUGACCCAGCAACGUCGCGUGAAGGAAGAAGGCUUUCGGGUUGUAAACUUCUUUUCUGAGGGACGAAGAAAGUGACGGUACCUCCGGAAUAAGCCACGGCUAACUACGUGCCAGCAGCCGCGGUAAUACGUAGGUGGCAAGCGUUAUCCGGAGUUAUUGGGUUUAAAGGGCGUGUAGGGGGGUAAGCAAGUCAGAUGUGAAAACUCAGGGCUCAACCCUGAGCCUGCAUUUGAAACUGUUUUUCUUGAGUGCUGGAGGGGCAAUCGGAAUUCCGGGUGUAGCGGUGAAAUGCGUAGAUAUACGGAGGAACACCAGUGGCGAAGGCGGAUUGCUGGACAGUAACUGACGCUGAGGCGCGAAAGCGUGGGGAGCAAACAGGAUUAGAUACCCCGGUAGUC
rnacentral:rRNA from 1 species